GCCCCUGUGGCUCAGUCUGGUCAGAGCGGCUGACAUGUAAUCAGUAAGUCGCAAGUUCAAAUCUUGCCAGGGGCU
rnacentral:tRNA from 1 species